GUGGGUGUAGUUCAAUUGGUUAGAGCACCAGAUUGUGAUUCUGGUUGUUGUCGGUUCGAGUCCGGUCACCCACC
rnacentral:tRNA from 1 species